rnacentral:rRNA from 1 species
UACGUAGGGGGCAAGCGUUGUCCGGAAUUAUUGGGCGUAAAGAGCGCGUAGGCGGUCCGAUAAGUCGGCUGUGAAAGUCAGGGGCUCAACCCUUGGAAGCCGGCCGAUACUGUCGGACUAGAGUCCGGAAGAGGCAAGUGGAAUUCCCGGUGUAGCGGUGAAAUGCGCAGACAUCGGGAGGAACACCAAUGGCGAAGGCAGCUUGCUGGGACGGUACUGACGCUGAGGCGCGAAAGCGUGGGGAGCAAACAGG